rnacentral:rRNA from 1 species
UACGAAGGGGGCUAGCGUUGCUCGGAAUUACUGGGCGUAAAGCGUGCGUAGACGGCCUGUUAAGUCGGAUGUGAAAGCCCCGGGCUCAACCUGGGAAUGGCAUCCGAUACUGGUGGGCUGGAGUGCGGUAGAGGAGAGUGGAAUUCCUGGUGUAGCGGUGAAAUGCGCAGAUAUCAGGAAGAACACCCGUGGCGAAGGCGGCUCUCUGGAACGCAACUGACGCUGAGACGCGAAAGCGUGGGGAGCAAACAGG